AUUGAACGCUGGCGGCAUGCUUUACACAUGCAAGUCGAACGGCAGCGCGGGCUUUGGCCUGGCGGCGAGCGGCGAACGGGUGAGUAAUGCCUAGGAACGUGCCCAGUAGUGGGGGAUAGCGCGCCGAAAGCGGGGUUAAUACCGCAUACGUCCUGAGGGUGAAAGUGGGGGACCUACAGACCUCGCGCUAUCAGAGCAGCCGAUGUCGGAUUAGCUAGUUGGUGGGGUAAAGGCCUACCAAGGCGACGAUCCGUAGCUGGUCUGAGAGGAUGACCAGCCACACUGGAACUGAGACACGGCCCAGACUCCUACGGGAGGCAGCAGUGGGGAAUUUUGGACAAUGGGCGAAAGCCUGAUCCAGCCAUGCCGCGUGUGUGAAGAAGGUCUUCGGAUUGUAAAGCGCUUUAGUUCGGGAAGAAAGCCAGUGGGUUAAUACCUCGGUGUGAUGACGGUACCGGAAGAAUAAGCACCGGCUAACUACGUG
rnacentral:rRNA from 1 species